AAAACUUUCAACAACGGAUCUCUUGGUUCUGGCAUCGAUGAAGAACGCAGCGAAAUGCGAUAAGUAAUGUGAAUUGCAGAAUUCAGUGAACCAUCGAAUCUUUGAACGCACAUUGCGCCCGCCAGCAUUCUGGCGGGCAUGCCUGUUCGAGCGUCAUUU
rnacentral:rRNA from 1 species